rnacentral:ncRNA from 1 species
GCUUCUUAGAGGGACUAUCGCCGUUUAGGCGACGGAAGUUUGAGGCAAUAACAGGUCUGUGAUGCCCUUAGAUGUGUGGGGCCGCACGCGCGCUACACUGAUGUAUUCAACGAGUAUAUAGCCUUGGCCGACAGGCCCGGGUAAUCUUGGGAAAUUUCAUCGUGAUGGGGAUAGAUCAUUGCAAUUGUUGGUCUUCAACGAGGAAUGCCUAGUAAGCGCGGG